UACGUAGGGGCAAGCGUUGUCCGGAUUUAUUGGGCGUAAAGAGCGUGUAGGCGGCUUGGUAGGUCCGCUGUGAAACUCGAGGCUCAACCUCGAGAUGUCGGCGGAAACCACUUGGCUAGAGUCCGGAAGAGGAGAGUGGAAUUCCCGGUGUAGCGGUGAAAUGCGCAGAUAUCGGGAAGAACACCUAUGGCGAAGGCAGCUCUCUGGGCAUUAACUGACGCUGAGGAGCGAAAGCCUAGGGGUAGCGAAGGGG
rnacentral:rRNA from 1 species